rnacentral:siRNA from 1 species
GCAAAGGUGGAGCAGGAGCCC